rnacentral:lncRNA from 1 species
UGCCCUGGACCGACUUGUCUCUAAUCCUUCUCAUGACUUGGUAAAGUUAGUGGGAGGAUCUACGAUAUGUCGAUUGAAUCCACUAGUCACUAGUCCUUUUUAUGACUUGGUGAAGUCAGUGGAAGGAUUUAUGACUUUAGGUCGACUAAUAUUUUAUAAAAUAAAUUAACCAAAUUUUUUAAAUUAUUAGGUCUAUAAAAUGAGUUAGUUAUGGGAAUAACUAGAUCAUAGCCUUUCAUUAAGGUGCGUGAUAAUGAGUCUAAUAUUCUAAAUAGGCAUUGGAGAUGCCACACACCUGGUGUCUAUUACGUAUUGAAAUUAUCAUCUAUUAUAUGACUAUUUUAUUAUACCUUCAGAUC